GAUAGAACAAGGCUGUUCCUGUGCUGACAUCUCCAAGACAUGGAAGCUUUAGUGUUUGUCCUGUGGCCGUGAUAGUGGGACUACAACCUCUGGAGUCCACCAUCUUAAUUCCAACAUUCGUCAUGUGAGAAAGUACCAAACUUCAACUUCUCUCUUGGAUGGAGUUCAUCUGGGUCAAGUGACUUGAACUUAUUGAGGGGGAGGAUUCCCACCCCCGCCCCCACCUAUGGCCAAAGUCAUCUGUGAUGGUUGGAUGUAAAAGAAUCUAAUGGCUGAAACCAAGGACCUGAUGACCCUUGUGAAGAAAUGUGGCCAUCCCAAUAGUCCUCAAAAAGUACCCUGAUAUGUGAAGGAUGAAGAACCCAGGAAUGCAGGAUCAUCACUGAUCAUUGAGUUCCUUGCUCCUACUGAAGUAACCUGAACAACCCUGGUUGUGUCUUGGAUUGCCUCUGUCCCCAGGUAUAUUCUUGAACUACCCUCAACAACAGCUGUUGUCAAUUGACCCUGCCCACCCUUGCGUGUCUAAUUUUUGGUUUCAUUAUCUUGUGUCAGUUAAAUUGUGACUGUUAUAAAGGACUAAAGCUUUUUAGUGUCACUGACUUAUUUGCCUCUUUGACAGCCUCUAAGUCCCAAAGCAAUAGCAACAAGCUGGGCCAUCUCUUGAUUCCAAAUCCAGAACACAUUCUCCUAUGCCAAAAGUGUAUAGAUAAAGAAGACUAGAAUAUUGAGGAUUGAACUUUGAAUAAUGGUCAUAAUUAGGGCUCAAAAGGAGGAAGAAAAACCAGUAGAAGAAGGAAUAGAGGGCUAGGAAGGAAGGAGGGAAACCAGAUUAGUGUACUAUCAUGAAAGUCAAGACAGGAGAGAAUUUCAAGAGGGAGAGAGUGGUUAACAGUGUCAAAUAUAGCAAAGUGGUAUAAGAGAAUGGGAAGAGAGAAAGAAAAAAAGUUAGAUUUUUAAAAUGCAAAGGUCAUUUGUGACUUUCAAGUAAGCUUUUAAAAUACUGUAUCCUUUAGCCUAUUGGCUGGAGGUUAAGGAGGAAGUGAAUAUUGAAGAAAUGAAAGCAGUGAGUGCAUCAUGAGUUAAUGAGAAACUUGGCACUGAAAGGAGAGAAAUAGAGCAUUAGUUAAGAGGAACAACAGAAGAGUCAUCCAAAGUAGGGGAGGCCUAUGAACAGUUUUCAUCCUGGGGGCAGAAAGAUGGUUCUCCUGUAAACUUGACACAUUCAGAGUUGGUUCAUGUGGAUAGAGAAUUGUUCUUUCCUCCCCUUCUCUAGCAUGAGUCCUGUCAUAGAAUCCUAGCCAAAGAAGAUAAUUCAGGGAUGGUCAAAUAGAAAGACUUCCCUUUGCCUAGAAAUGUGGGUUUAUUGUAAACAAAUAAGG